rnacentral:rRNA from 1 species
AACUUAGUAAGCCACCUGGGGGAUGGCUUGGCUCGAGCGCCGAAGAAGGCCGUGGCAAGCGGCGAAACGCCUAGGCGAGGUGCAAGCAACCGUUGAACCUAGGAUCGCUGAAUGGGACUUCCUGACGAAGGGAAACCUUCGUCGCUCGCGCGAGCGAGCGGGAACCCCGGGAACGGAAACAUCUUAUUACCGGGAGGAAAAGAAAGCAAACGCGAUGCCGGGAGUAACGGCGAGUGAAACCGGCGCAGGGCAAACCGAACCUGGUGAUGAAAAUCACUGGGGAUGUGGAGUUGUAGGACUCCCCCCAAUCUCUCGCGUGAGAAGCCGAAGCAGUUGGAAACCUGCGCCUUAGAGGGUGACAGCCCCGUAGGCGUAAUCACGCAGGGUACGAGGGGGAGUAUCCUGAGUAGGGCGCCUCGGAAUUGGUGCCUGAAGCUGGGGGGCAUCAACCCCUAACCCUAAACACGUCUCGAGACCGAUAGCGGACGCAGUACCGCGAGGGAAAGCUGAAAAGCACCCCGGAAGGGGGGUUAAAAGAGCCUGAAACUAGGUGGCGAUAGUAGGGCACGGCUCGAAAGAGUUGAUCCUCCCCGAAGGAAGCCGUCGCGAGGCGGUUGUACGAGGGGAGGGAAUCAGGGUCGUGCCGUCCGUCUAGAAUCACGGGCCAGGGAGUUUCGUGUCGUGGCGAGGCUAAGCGGUUCAACCGCGGAGCCAGAGCGAAAGCAAAAGGUCCGCAGCCCGCAAGGGUGAGGGACUGGGUGUUAACAGCGCCCGGAGUCACGGCGCGAAGACCCGAAACCGGGCGAUCUAGUCCGAGGCAGGCUGAAGUCCCCCUUUGGGGGAUGGAGGGCCGAACCGGUCUUGAUGUGCAAUUCGGUCGGAUGACCUUGGGCUAGUGGCGAAAGACCAAUCAAGCCCGGUGACAGCUGGUUCCUUCCGAAGCUGGCCGCAGUCAGGCCUAGCGCGAGGUCGCCGGUAGCGUAGAGCACCGAUUGGGGAAGUAUGGGGGGAAACCCUCGGCUCUCCUGUCGAACUCCGAAGCUGCCGGCACCGUAGACCGCUAGAGACGGGAUGCGGGGGGUAAGCUCCCGCUCCGAGAGGGGAAAAACCCAGACUGGGGUUAAGGCCCCUAAAUGUCGGCUAAGUGUCAACCUAGAAGGGCGUCCUCGUCCUCAGACAGUGGGAAGGUAGGCUCAGAAGCAGCCAUCCUUUAAACAACGCGUAAUAGCGGACCCAUCGAGGGCGGGGGCCCCGAAGAUUCACGGGGCUAAGCCGACUGCCGAUACCUCAGGGCAGUCGAAGUUUAGUAGACUGAUCUGGUAGGAAGGCGUCCGGCGUGGGGAGAAGUACGGCCGUGAGGUCGUAUGGACCGCGCUGGAAUGAGGAUCCUGGUGGUAGUAGCAGCAUAGUUGGGUGAGAAUCCCAACCGCCGAAGGGGCCCGGGUUCCUCGACAAUGAUCGUCAGUCGAGGGUUAGUCGGUCCUAAGGUGGCUCUCAACCAGACGCCAUCGAAAGGGAAUCCGGUUAAUAUUCCGGAACCAUCCAGGUACCUGCGGCAACGCAAGCCUGGCUUCCGACGCUCUGAGAUAGGUCGAGUGAGGUCGUCGCCUCAUUUAACCGUUGAAACCCGGGGAGUUCCGUAAUGGAGAGAACCGGGUGAAGGCGGGAAUAGCCUGCCGUUAGGUGGGUUCGGCUGAUUCUUGGAGCCCGUGAAAAGGGGGCCAGGAAAUGGGAUCCUGGGUGACCGUACCUAGAUCCGACACAGGUGCCCCUAGGUGAGAAGCCUAAGGCGUGUCGAGAGACACCAGGCUAGGGAAUUCGGCAAGUUGGCCCAAAAGCUUCGGUAGAAUGGGUGCCUGCUCCGCGAGGGGCAGGUCGCAGUGACUAGGGGGCUACGACUGUUUAAUAAAAACGUAGCUUACUGCGAAGGCGAAAGCCCUUGUACAGUAAGUGAAUUCUGCCCAGUGGCGGUACGUGAAAGCCCGGUCCAACGGGCAGAAGCGCCGCUAAACGGCGGGGGUAACUAUAACCCUCUUAAGGUAGCGUAAUACCUUGCCGCUUAAUUGGCGGCUUGCAUGAAGGAAUCAACGAUAGCCCCACUGUCCCAGCCUGGAACUCGGUGAACCCACUGGCCGGCGCACAUGCCGGGGACCCCCGAAGGGAAACGAAGACCCCAUGGACCUUUACUGCAGCUUGUCGUUGGGGCGCGGUCGCGAUUGCAGAGCGUAGGCGGGAGCCUUAGAAGCCCGGCCUUAGGGUCGGGUGGAGGCGCCAAUGUAACACCGCCCUUUCGUGACUACGCCUCUAACCCCGCGAGGGAGACAGCGGCAGGUGGGCAGUUUCGCUGGGGCGGCAGUCCCUCGAAAAGAUAUCAAGGGAGCCCAAAGGUCGGCUCAGGCGGGUCAGAACUCCGCCGUAGAGGGCAAGGCCAAAAGCCGGCCUGACUGUGAGCUCACUACCAAGGCUCGCAGAGGCGAAAGCCGGGCCUAGCGAACCUCGAUGUCCCUCUUGGUGAGGGCUCGGGAUGACAGAAAAGGUACCCUGGGGAUAACAGAGUUGUCGCGGGCGAGAGCCCCUAUCGACCCCGCGGUUUGCUACCUCGAAAUACGGGGUAUGGCGGCAGCAAUGCCGACCAAAGCACCGGCUAAUAUCGGAGAACCCUCCGCAAUAAAUUGAAUAAGGGAAAAUCUAGUAGUUGUGGAGGCAACUCCGAGGGAAGUGGGCAUAUGGAAAAACCACUGAGUAAAGUUCAGAGAGAACUCAUAAUCGGGUCUUUGUUGGGCGAUGGACAUUUGCGUCCUCAUAGAGGCAAGGUGGUCUUUGAGUUUCUACAAACGGCGAGGCGCAAGUUCUACGUUGAAUGGAAACACAGCAUCCUGAAAGGUGUCGCCUGUCCUAAGAUUUAUCACAGCAAAGGUAACCGGGAGUACUACAAAAUGGUGACGAGAACACAUCCGGAGUUGAUGGAGCUUUACCGUUUUUUCUACAGAGAAGGCCGCAAGAUAGUGCCAGAGAAAAUCAAAGAAAUGUUGACGCCGUUUGCGUUGGCAGUCUGGUUCAUGGAUGAUGGUAGUAAGAGCCGUGGUUCAGUUUACUUCAACACUCAGGGAUUUACGGUAGACGAUCAGUUCCGGCUGAUAAGGGCACUUAGAAAAUUUCACUUGAUUGCCAACAUAAAUCGAGAUGGAAUGUACUAUCGUCUCAGGCUGCUCAAGAGACACAACUCAAGAUUCGUCGAGUUGGUUGGCCCAUAUAUCCUAGAAGAAUUCAAGAAAAAGUUGCCCACCCCGUAGAGACUGAUGCCAGGUGGCAGAUGAGUUGGAUCACAUCGUGUGGUCCAAAAUACGCCGGCCCCCGCCUAGGUGCGGGGUGAAGAAAUAGUCCGAAGAGAAAUCUUCGCGAUGUCGGUUCUUCCCAUCCUGGCCGUGUAGCAGCGGCCAAGGGUAGGGUUGUUCGCCCAUUAAAGGGGAACGUGAGCUGGGUUUAGACCGUCGUGAGACAGGUCGGAUGCUAUCUUUCGGGGGUGUUGGGUGCCUGAGGGUAAGGUAUCCCUAGUACGAGAGGAACAGGAUGCCGGCGCCUCUGGUUUACCGGUUGUCCGACAGGGCAGAGCCGGGCAGCUACGCGCCAGUCGAUAAGGCCUGAAAGCAUCUAAGGCCGAAGCGACACCCGAAAAUAGGCACCCUGGGC